rnacentral:rRNA from 1 species
AUACGUAGGUGGCAAGCGUUGUCCGGAUUUAUUGGGCGUAAAGCGAGCGCAGGCGGUCUUCUAAGUCUGAUGUGAAAGCCUUCGGCUUAACCGGAGAAGUGCAUCGGAAACUGGGAAACUUGAGUGCAGAAGAGGACAGUGGAACUCCAUGUGUAGCGGUGAAAUGCGUAGAUAUAUGGAGGAACACCAGUGGCGAAGGCGGCUGUCUAGUCUGUAACUGACGCUGAGGCUCGAAAGCGUGGGUAGCAAACAGGAUUAGAUACCCUGGUAGUCCAUGCCGUAAACGAUGAGUGCUAGGUGUUGGAGGGUUUCCGCCCUUCAGUGCCGCAGCUAACGCAUUAAGCACUCCGCCUGGGGAGUACGACCGCAAGGUUGAAACUCAAAUGAAUUGACGGGG